AUGCAUGAUGGCUAUAUCUCUGACUUUUGUGAAAAGAUUGUUGAGGUUUUCAUGGAUGAUUUCUCCGUUUAUGGAUCUUCUUUUGAUGAUUGCUUGAGCAACCUUGAUCGAGUUUUGCAGAGGUGUGAAGAAACUAAUCUUGUCUUGAAUUGGGAGAAGUGCCACUUUAUGGUUAAUGAAGGCAUUGUCUUGGGACAUAAAAUUUCUGAAAGAGGUAUUGAAGUUGAUAAAUCUAAAGUUGAUGCUAUUGAAAAGAUGUCGUGUCCUAAAGACAUUAAAGGUAUAAGAAGUUUCCUUGGUCAUGCCGGUUUUUAUAGAGGUUUAUUAAGGACUUCUCUAAAAUUUCUAGGCCUCUGA
rnacentral:rRNA from 1 species